UGAUUGACAUACAUAUGUAAAUAUAUAUAAAAUCGGACUCAUAUAAGCAGACAAACAAAUUGUGUGUGGUACACAAAAACCUAACCUUUUUGAAAUCACAUUGGUUCGCUAUUAUUUUCAACUAUGUUCCUAUAAAUCUCUAUGUGUUUAUUUUGAAAUGAGGUAGAAUUGCAUGGUAUAGAGGAGUAAGGAAAGUCCCAUUCACAAUAGAAAAAAGAGCCAUUCACAGUCCUUAACCUAC